rnacentral:rRNA from 1 species
UACAGAGGGUGCGAGCGUUAAUCGGAAUUACUGGGCGUAAAGCGUGCGUAGACGGUUAUUUAAGUCGGGUGUGAAAGCCCCGGGCUCAACCUGGGAAUUGCAUUCGAGACUGAAUAGCUAGGGUACGGUAGAGGGAAGUGGAAUUCCGGUGUAGCGGUGAAAUGCGUAGAUAUCGGAAGGAACACCAGUGGCGAAAGCGGCUUCCUGGUCCAGCACCGACGUUCAGGCACGAAAGCGUGGGGAGCAAACAGGG